CCUGUCUUGGUGGCAAUAUCAAUAGUGCUCCGCCCAAAAUAUUAGGCGUGAAGCCUGUCUUGGUGGCAAUAUCAAUAGUGCUCCGCACAGAAAUGAAAAUACAUAUAAUCAUAACCAAUAGUCUUCUGUUUACAUCUUGUGCACAGUAGGACAAUAUCAGUUGUUCAUUAUAAUACUAUUUUUGUGUAUUACUUGCAAAUAGUAUCACAAAUAACCAACUUCCUAUUGUAGGACAGGUAAAUAGUAGACUCUGAAAGCUUGUGGCACUUGAGUCAUUCGAGAUGACAGUUGUUCAAUGGUGUUAGGAUGCCAUAAACAAAAUGCCUAAGUUGGCAAGUGAAGUCAAGCAUCUCUUUAUAAAGGUGGAACUCAAAGGGGAUCCUAACGCCCUUCAGCCUUUUCCAGUUUGAUUUUGUUGAUUUCUUUAACAGCCACCCCAAGCUAAUAAAAUUUGACCUCCAUGGUUCCGUGCUGCUCUUUCUCAAAGAAAACAAUUUGAGAAAUAUGAGUCUGCUAUUUUUCAUUGCCCAACUGUUCCACAUGGUGCACUUAACGCUUGUGUCUUCAAGCACAUAAUAGCUUGUAGUCCACUAUUUCCUAUGAGUACAGGAUGUAAUGCGCAUCUUAGUAGUCAAUCUUGCUAAUCUGAAAGCAAUAGCAUAGCAAAAUAAUAAGCAGGAAAAGAGAAAGAUAAAAGCUACCAUUCAACAUGUAAAUUUCAAUAAUUGCAGUGAAGCAAUCUUAAGGAGCUAACGGCUUAAUUAUGCUAUAAAACAAAAGGAUGUUACACAAUUAUUCUCCUUUAAAGGCAUAAAAAACCAACAAUCAACUUACCGCUUUUGAUGUCCCACGAUUCUGCUCGUUUAAAAACGAAGGAGAAGGAUAGGGGUCGCUAGGUCAGAAAAGCGAUAACUAAAAAAUCUCCCCAAGUAGGAUUCGAACCUACGACCAAUCAGUUAACAGUCGACCGCUCUACCACUGAGCUAUUGGGAACAUCGGACUUAAUGUUGGAAGCCGACUCUCGUUCUUUGGACCAACCUAUGACCGAAUACAAAUGAGUUCGUCGCUCCUUUUCAUAUAUUGGGAGAAAAGGUUACGAUAGCAAGCCUCUCCCCGGCCGGAGAGCCUCCAGGACAAGGAGGCGGCAAUAAAAUCAAAUUUACUGCUGAAGAAUAAUAUAGUAAAAAUGCUCAUAAAUAAAAUAAAAUAAGGAAAUUUGACUAAACCAUUAAUUUUUCCUUGUUUAUUCUUUUUCCUAAUAUCUAUCUUGUUCAUGUGUAUAUACCUACAUCUAGUAUCUCCUAGCAAGCAACGACAAUCUCCUCGAUGGGAAAAUUAGAGCUUCACUUUUUGCUGCAACAGCUGGCUAUUGGAUUCGUUUGAACUUAACAGAAUACAUUAACCAUACAUUAUUCAGGUUCCUUGUUUUUAUUUUUUAUUUUUUUGGUUUCAGGUUCAUCCAGUAUAAAAAAUUAAAUUAAAAAGGUAGAAGCACCAAUAUUUUGUGUAAUUUCUACUCCAAUUUCAGAAACGCAACUAAACUUUCAGAUAAAAAGAAGAAUAUGGCUUAAUCAUUAAACCAGACGACAUAAAGAACAUAAACUCCAAUAUAUUGCAUCUAGUUUCAAAUAACAGAUAAGGAAAGAAUUAUGGAUAUCCCGUGCAACCACAUGGAAUGUGUGUAUGUGUUCAAGUGUUUCAGAAUAAAUUCUGCAGCUGACAAGUUCGACAAGAACCAGAAUGUACAUAGACUUCCACAGUUGAAGAGCAACUAACCAAUACAUAAUUGCAAUGUGAUAACUAAAAGUGGCUUCAUCAAGAUUAUAAACUUGCUAAUCCCUUAAUAUUCAAUAAUCUCUUCUUUCUAUUAAUAAUGCACCUUAAAUUUUACAGGCUUGAUCAAUUGAAUUCCUAGAGCCUUUGGGAAUAUCAUCCUUCCUCCAAAUACAAAUGAACAGAACACACUUUUCAAAGUGGACUAAGACGCUAAAGCUAAAGCCCUUCCUGUAAGAUAUAUAUAUAAAAAAAAGAAAAAAAAAAAAAAGAAGAAGAAGAAAACAAAAACAUGAAACUGGGUAGAAAUAUCUUGCUCAAGAGACUCUUCAUACUUCUCUCCUGCUCAAGCAACCAUGGUCUCACCACUUUAGGAUAAAAGGUUUCUAAAUUUAUGUGAUGAGCUAAACAACUCAGUGAACCCGCCAAAGUUUUACUCUAUUUUUUUUUCGUUAAUGCAAUUAAUCUAUCCACUAUGAGUUAAAAGUACGUCAUAUUCCCUGAAUGCACGCCUGCUUGUUCCCCUCAAACCAUGAAAUAAGUCCUCAUUCGUAUUCUCAUUAACUCGCAGAUGUCCUGAAAAAAUAAUCCUUCCAUAUAGCCCAAACUUCUACACCUCUAUAAUUAGUAGUCUCUGGCAGUCUGCUUCGACACUAACUAUUUGGCAAAAACAGAUGCUUACAAGGAAUUCUACCUUCACUAUUGGCAUGUUUUGUUUGGUUCCUCAAAAGGGAGCGAAUGGAAAGAGGUAGAGAGACUUACGGGUUUACCUCUAAUUGUUUGGUAAGUUGGUAUAAUUGCAAAUGAAUUAGAAAAAGAGCAAAGCUGCAUAUGCCUCCACUUUACCUUUUUUGAAACCAAGAGAGAAAACUAUCACUGGUUAUUUCUUCAGCAUAUCAUUCAAAUUACCAAAUAAAAUGAGUCGUACAUAUUAUCAAACACAUAGGGUGCAUAUUCCCACUUCAAAUCAUAAAUUGACAGAGAAAUUUAAAGAAAAAGCAUAGGGCAUAUGAAGAGACCCAGUCUUCCAACAAUAAGUUUGAUACCUUAUUUUUGCAGGACGGAUUAAUUAUUCACUAAUCAGUAGCAUAAGAAAAAAUUCAUCAAUAAGACAUAAUGCAUGUUUAGAUUAGGUACAAUUACUCACAUGCAAGUAAAAAUUGUAGCAGCACACUUUUCAAAAAGAACAGCAAAACUAUGUUCUUAUAGUCUCGGGAACAACUACUAAUUUUCAAGACAAAUCCAUAUAAAAUUAGGAAGGUCGAGAAUGUGGUUUGCUUUCUAUUAACAACUGAAUCAGCAACAAGGUUUCCAAUAACUCCUAUUAGAAGAACAUCACAUACCAUCAAUGAAAAAACCAGAAAGGUCCGACACUGAAACAGAGGCGGCUUAACACAGUUUGGGACUUGAACCAAAGUGUAAUGAGGGGCCUUAAGUUCUUCUAAAAAAAAUUAUAUAUAUUUUAUUUAAAGGCUAUUUUCU
rnacentral:lncRNA from 1 species